rnacentral:lncRNA from 1 species
GCAACCGUGCAUAUUUUAGAAUGAGGAAUUCGCACUACAUAUGUCCUGCAAGGCCCAGUGAGAAAAAAGUCUGGGGUUAAAAUGAUAAUGUUAAACAUAAUGUAUCGCAUGUAACAUUUAAUGAAUCGAACUCAUGCAUGGACUAAGUGAACUGUCGAGAAAAACUGACAUCAACUAUCGAUAUUGAUAGAUCAUCUGUUGAUACCGACAAUUGAUAUCCAAACAGGACUGGAGUGAGGUGAAAUAUCGAGAAUAAUUGAGCUGAAGUGUCCGAAAUGAUAGUUCACUGGGAGUUGAUCUGCCUACUGAAGUGAGCUGUGCAACAUAAGUGGACAAAGGAGACAUGCAAGGACAACGUUUAAACCACAAUCAGUUCAAUACGAAUGCAAGGUAUGAGCCUGUAAUUCAUGUGUGAAGCCAAUUCUUACAACAAAAACUAUGAAUGAUCUGCUCAAAUCGUAUGCCAUGCAUAAUCAUGAUUUUCCAAGCAUAAAGGAUCGGGUUAUAUGAUGAACACUUCUGACUAUAUACAUAAAUGACUUCAAAUAUGACCUUAUUACAUAAAUGACUCAGCGAUAAGUGUACAUGCAAAUGCACAGACGGUUCAUAUUUUGGGAAAAUGGAAGUACCCACACUUUGACAUAUCCGAAUAACCUUACAUUAUAAGAACAAAUUAUACUCAAUUAAUGAAAUCCCAUAUAUUCAAUUACUCGGUUAUUUCUCUCUAGGAAACUAAGAAUGCAAGUUGUAGAAUGAAAUAAGAUAUUAAAUUUCUCAUACAUCGGAAAAAAGUGAAACAAAAGGGAAUUUUUCGUACUAAACCAGCCAAAUGGAAACAUGAGAACACAUGGUGCAUCUUACUGUAGAAUGGAAUGAGAUAUUAAACUUGUCAUACAUCAGGAAAAAGUGAAACAAAAGGGCUUCUUCAAAAUGGUGUGCUGUGUAGAGCAUUUAUCCAGGGGCACAUGGGGCCACUCCUGCCAAAAGAGGGAGGAAAUCCCAGGCUAAAUGGCUUUACUCUUAUCAUUCUCCCGAUGAUUCUCGAAAAAUAGAAUGAUAAGAGUUAAAUAAAUCAAAGAGAAAAUCUUGGAGGAAAGUUAAAAAACAGAGAAAAAAUCUCUAUUUAUUGUCUUCUUUAAUUUAUUAAUUUUAUUAUUAUUAUCAAAAUAUAUUUUAUAUCAAAUAAUAUAAAAUAAAAUAAUUCGAAAUGUGUUCAAAAAAUUCAAGCUGGACAAUGUGAUAUAGACAGAUAGUCUAAAACAGGAAAAUUUUGUCAUCCUUUCAUCGCUUUCAUGAAUAAAUCAACAACUCAGUUAUUUGUAAAUUGAGAAAUAAUAGUCUAAAACAGGAAAAUUUUGUCAUCCUUUCAUCGCUUUCAUGAAUAAAUCAACAACUCAGUUAUUUGUAAUUUGAGAAAUAAUUGCCCUUCACUUCGUGCAAAAGUACAGAAGUUAUUGCCUUAAAAGAAAAAACAUUCCAAAUAUCUUAUUAACAAUGCUUGAAUAAAAAAUAAAUAGUAAAAUAUGAAUCCUAAAAUGUAUGUAAAUAAUAAAAAAUAAAUUCAACUAGCUUAAAUUAUUUAGUCCAAAAUAUGCACUAACAUUAACUUCUCUUUUUUUUUUUUUUUUACAAGGUGUCCAAUUCUUGACUAAUCCUUGGGUCUGUGAUCCGGCCCCUCUUCACACAGUCCGGUUAAUCGCAGGAUGUGCCUCCGACUGGCCAGGGUCCGAGCGCUCCCCACCUGGUCUGACAAAGUGCCAAGCAAGCCAAUCCAAGUUGCACCUUGCCUUCCAAGAAUAAUCCUUGCCUUCCAAGUUCCCACUUGCCUUCCAAGAAUAAAUCCUUGCCUUCCAAAUGUUCCCUUGCCUUCCAAGAAUAAAUCCUUGCCUUCCAAGAGCCCCAUGUUUCGAACUCACGACCUCUGUUCUGUCAAAUUUGACAGCGUCCGUCCUUUGCCAGUGAAGAAGUGCCUUGGGGGGCAACAUUAACUUCUCUGUACAUACAAAAGAGGGGGAUAGCAUAAGAAAAUUUAGAAUACAUAUAAAACAAGAAUUUAUUAGUACAACAAAAAAUAUAUACAUAUCGUGAUAUCGAUAAGAUAAGAAAUCCUCCUAUAAAAGGGGCAUAUUUUCGUUCGUUAUCAAUCUUAGCAAACAAAUGACAAAUCCCAAGAUGACAAAAUAGUAACUUCCUUCCUUGCAGUUGCCGAGACAAAUAAACCAAGUGAAGUGAGCAACAGAAAUUGUUCCUCACAUUUCUUAAGUAAUAACUAAUGAAAUAUUCUUAAAAUGCAUCAACAGUUCGCUCUUUUGUUCAAUAGGUGCUUCAUAUUCAUAUUCCUCUUUUCCAGAAAAUGCAAACAAAAAAUAAAGAAAACACCAACCUCAAGAUAUUAGUGACGGUCUUCACUAGCAAUGGACAGAUUCACGGCGAUCGUGGACGGCUAGGUGUUGGAUGAUUCGAUUAACAGAGGAGAGAUGAUGCUCGACUUUGAUCAAUUCGAAUGAUAGAGGAGUGAAUUCGUAUUUUGUUUUCGUCGUCAUCAACAGUGAAGGUCGUCACAGGAUGGGACGGAGAUGGGCGAUUUCAGUGAGAGGAGUGCGUUUAAGUCGGUUUUGUGAGAGAUGUGAGUGUGUUUGGGUCAGUUUCAUUUUCUUCUUCUUUUGGGCAUUUCACCUCCUUAUUUUUUUGUUUUAUUUCCCACAUUGAGUUAUUUGGUACACAAUUUUGUACAAUCUUUU